ensembl:lncRNA
CCCUGUACCUGCACUGCGCAAGUCCUUAAUGGGAGCGCGACGUUUCCUCCCGCAGGGUCAGAGGGUCCGAUCCGUAGACAAAGGGCGUCGAGUCGGCGCUAGGCUGUCCGUCUCUCCGCUUGCCUCGUCCUCUGGUCUCGUCUGGUCAGUGGUGAUGCUCCUUCCAUCGGGAUCAGAUCGGGAAGUCCCAAAGACCACCAGGAAGCCGAUUCCGAUGUAAGCACACGAGGGCCGUUUAUUCAAGCUCGAGCAGGGGCUCCCAACCGUCACCGACGCAGCGGAUCAGAAUUGAGAGCCCCGAAUUUCAAAUUAGCGGGGUUUUUAUUGUGGUUACAGCAAGAUCAAAUGAAUGAAUUAUCUAACAGGGAAAUGAACGCUGGAUGUAAUAUUACUUUAAGCCACAUCUGAAAUGAAUUGGAAGAUCAAAAGACUACAUAAUGACAUCAAUUGAGAGAAAGAAAACUUUCUUCCCCUGAACUUUAAAGAGUAUACUGUCUCAUUUCAACUCCCAGCAACCUGACGAAUACAGCAUCAGUGAAGAGCAAAUGAGAUAGUCUAGAUGAAGUCGUGCACUGUCCGGCACAGAGUAACUGUCCAGUAUCUAUCAGCCAUGGUUAUGAAAAUAUGUCUACAGAAAUGCUUUGCUCCUCUCUCUUUGUUUACAUAUUUUUUGCUAAAAUGUAUUCGGUCUCAUUCUCAUGACUUCUCAAUAGAUGGCACACAUCCAAAUGCCG